UACGUAGGGGCAAGCGUUGUCCGGAAUCAUUGGGCGUAAAGCGCGUGUAGGCGGCUCGGUAAGUCUGCUGUGAAAGUCCAGGGCUCAACCCUGGAAAGCCGGUGGAAACUGUCGAGCUAGAGUCCGGAAGAGGCGAGUGGAAUUCCUGGUGUAGCGGUGAAAUGCGCAGAUAUCAGGAGGAACACCGGUGGCGAAGGCGGGUCUCUGGGCCGGUACUGACGCUGAGACGCGAAAGCGUGGGGAGCAAACAGG
rnacentral:rRNA from 1 species